AUUGAACGCUGGCGGCAUGCCUUACACAUGCAAGUCGAACGGUAACGGGCCCUCGGGUGCCGACGAGUGGCGAACGGGUGAGCAAUGCAUCGGAACGUACCUUUCAGUGGGGGAUAACGUAGCGAAAGUUACGCUAAUACCGCAUAUUCUGUGAGCAGGAAAGCAGGGGAUCGCAAGACCUUGCGCUGAUUGAGCGGCCGAUGUCAGAUUAGCUAGUUGGUGAGGUAAAGGCUCACCAAGGCGACGAUCUGUAGCGGGUCUGAGAGGAUGAUCCGCCACACUGGGACUGAGACACGGCCCAGACUCCUACGGGAGGCAGCAGUGGGGAAUUUUGGACAAUGGGGGCAACCCUGAUCCAGCCAUGCCGCGUGAGUGAAGAAGGCCUUCGGGUUGUAAAGCUCUUUCGGCCGGGAAGAAAUCGCACAGGCUAAUACCUUGUGUGGAUGACGGUACCGGAAUAAGAAGCACCGGCUAACUACGUGCCAGCCGCCGCCGUAAGAC
rnacentral:rRNA from 1 species